GGAGGAGUACCGAAGUGGUCGUAACGGCGCCGCCUCGAAAGCGGAUGGGGAUGAAAGUCCCACGGGAGUUCGAAUCUCCCCUCCUCCGCCA
rnacentral:tRNA from 3 species